UACAGAGGGUGCGAGCGUUAAUCGGAAUUACUGGGCGUAAAGCGUGCGUAGCCGGUUAUUUAAGUCGGGUGUGAAAGCCCCGGGCUCAACCUGGGAAUUGCAUUCGAGACUGAAUAGCUAGGGUACGGUAGAGGGAAGUGGAAUUUCCGGUGUAGCGGUGAAAUGCGUAGAUAUCGGAAGGAACAUCAGUGGCGAAAGCGGCUUCCUGGUCCAGCACCGACGUUCAGGCACGAAAGCGUGGGGAGCAAACAGG
rnacentral:rRNA from 1 species